GCAGGGGGCUGGGAGGGGCACGCGCAGGCCGGGCUCACGCCAAGCCAGGCCGGUCCGAGCGCCCCAAGGCCGGUCCGGCCUCCGUUUCCCACCGACACCGGGAGGCCGAGGACGCGCGGCUGCUGGACCUGCUGGAGGCCGGGCGCCCGGGACCGAGCCCGCCUGCAGACUCCCGGCGGGGUCCUCCGCCCGCCGCGCUCAGCGCUGUGCCUGCCCGGCCGGAGGCGCCCCGAAGCGGGCCGCGCAGUGGGGUCCGGCCCUGGGGCGCAGCUCCGCCUUCCCCGCCCUGCGCGCCUGGAGGGGACCCGGGGACCCCGCGAGGGAGGCCCAGCCGCAGCCGGACGUGGGGCUCGCGGGUGCCGCAGGGAGCUGGGGGGGAGGGGAGGGGGGAGGGGAGGGGGAGCGGGCGGCCCUCGGUGCGGCCCUCGGUGCUCCCCACGUCCGGAUUCUCCUGCCACUGACGCUGUGUGGUCGCGUGACAUUGGCCGCCCCGGGGUCCCGGGUGCGAGCGGCGGGCUCGGGAGAGCGGGCGCAGGGCCACGGCUGGAGUGGGCCGUGCUGCCCGCCCCGCCCCGCCCAGCCCCGCCCGCCCGCCGAGCCCGGAAGGAAAGUGAGGGUGUAGCGCCCCCUCAUGGCGAACCCACGUUACGGCGGCGCAGGAGGGCAGGGCCUGGGGCUGCGGCAGGGGGCAGGGGCUGCGGGCAGGGGCAGGGGCUGCAGGGGCAGGGGCCCCACGACACCCAGGCGGUGGGAAAUGAGCCUUCCUCCGGGCGGCCCUCCCCCAGGCCAGCACCAGCCUGCUGUCCCCCGACAGCCGAUUCCCUCACGCGGGUCCCAAUUACUGGAGGGAUGGACUCGGGCCCCCACGAGUAUGGAAGGAAAACACGGGACAGUCCUCAAGGAGGUCGCCUCAGAAAUAGGGACAACUGGAGCCAACUCGCUGCGUCAUUAGCUGGGCUUCGGGACCCCCCUCCGGUGCAGGUACCCCGAGCCGCGCAGAGAUCCCGCCCUCCCCGGCACGGACCUCGGCUCCCAAGGCAUGGACGGCGGCUGGCGAGACGCGCCGAGGACUACGCUCCACCUGCCAGCGGGCCCGUUGGGGUUUGUCACCGGGAUCCCAGACCAUUCGGAGCCACAGUCUUCCCUUCCUCCUUCUCUAGUGUUUCCCCAAAGAACGGCUACAGGAAGGUCACUUCUACGGAGCCUCAGACCAAAAAUUAAGCCCCGGGUAGGAGGGAUGGCCCAAGGAGCCUUCUCCGUCCGUAGUGUGGCUACUGGUCUGGGGGGCCUGGCAUGUCCUGACAGAGAGACCCCCGGACAGACGGCCUCAUUCCCGUGCUUCCAGAAGGCUCUCUGGUCCCCACCUGCUUCUACGGCAGCUCCACCUUCAGUUCCCGCCUGUACUGGAAGGUUGAGCUGAGGGUGGGCCCCUUCCCCGCUAGCCCACCUAGGCCGUGGAAUGUCCCGCGGCAUGUGGAAGGGGAAGGGCCCCUGCAGUCCCCCCAUGUAAGCGACAGUGGGGGAAGGAUAGAGAAAUCGGGGCAGGGAGAGUGCAGUGGGACCGCAGCCCGGGCGCGAGGGAUUGCUCGGGGUUACGGGGGCUGAGGCUCGGAGCUCUGGGUCGGCGGUGCUGGGGCCGUGCCUGCCUUCCCGACCACGGAGGCAAGGACCGGGCGCUGGGGGGCCGUGCGUGAGGCCGGGCCUGCCGUGACGAGGCCGACGCCUGGAGGGUGGGUGCCGCUGCCCCAACGGGGCUGGAGGGCCAAGGCGCUGUGGGCCCCAGGGACAUGUCCCGCUGGGAGCCCUGAGCCGGGUCCUCGCUCCUGCUGUCCCCGGGGGCAGUGGGAGAGCUGCGUGUUCGAGAUCCUCCGGAGGAGCUCAGAUCCCGACGAUAGGCCUCGGGUAAGUGUGCGAACUGGGCAUCUUGACUUGAUCCCUGGCUGAACUCGAGGUAGAUGUGUAGGACCCGUUGUGUCCAACUCCGUUAUGGUUGGGGGGGGGGUUGGUUGGUUUUAUUUAUUUUGUUUUUUUGUUUUCAGUUUUUUGGUCUUUUUUAGGGGAGAAAGGUCAGAGGCCUCACGCUAAUCAACCCUCGGAGCCCUCUGGGAGACAUCUACUCCCGAGACUCACUGAACAAAUACCUGGAAUUUGCCGAGAGGUUGGACUUCCACCCCUCGAGACGAGGCCCCUGAGCAGGUUCCUGUCACUCGAGGCCAAGAAGUCAGAACCCGAUGCAAUGUACCCCGAUAGUCUUACCGCCUAGUGUACCCUGCAAAGCUGUGCACGACUCCCUGAAAUUGAAGUGAAAGCAAACGUACCCACAUGCUUCAGCCAAACAUUUUUUUUUGCCAUUUUCCUUUUUUAUUCUUUUGCCCGGGUACAGACACCGACACAACAAACGUGAUCUGGUUUUGCUGCUUUUCCUCUUCUUGCCACGUAACCACUUUCUCCCAGCAGCCACUUCGCGGCCACUUGGCCUGAGGCCAAGCCGGACUCCCAGACCCUAUGCGGGUGAGGACGUGUCCCCAGAGAACCCCGUGUCCCGUUCCCACGCGCAUGUUAACAUCAGUUACCUCUGGAGUCCUCACUGGUUAGGGGCGAUGAUCUCCCAUUUUCUAGAAGAAACACACGCGUCCAAAUUUCAUGACUCUAGUCCAGCCCAGUUUGUGGCAGGGCCUGAGGACGAGAGGAGGAACGCUGGAAGGGUGUGGGCUGGAAUUUGACAGGACAGGGUUCAAACCCCAGCUAGAGCACCUGCUAAGCGAGGGAAUUAACUUUGUCUCUUUGAAGAAACUGUUUCUUGGUCCGUGAAAUGGAGAUACCAGGGGGCCAUGGGGAGAACAAACAUGACGGCCACAUACAUAAUGUCACUAUUCAGUCGGGACCCUGGGUGGGAGCUCCUGCUGGGAGAUGCACCCUCCCCAUUGCACUGGCCUCUGCCUGACAGAUGAAGGAUUCGAUGUUCUCCUGAGCGUCUCUGGAUCCUCUUCCUUCCUACCCCCAAGCCAGGUCUAAGGACCCCUUCCGGUCCCCCCACCCCCCGACCUCACCACGCCCCCUUUGGGAGGGUUGGAUGGGUGCUGGAGCAGUAAGAGUAUCAGAGCUGUAGCCCGAGGAGACCAUGAAAGGGACCGAGGGGAGAUUAGCGGGAACCCAGAUAUUGCUUCCCUUCUUUCGUGCGAUCUGCAGGUACAGCCUACGUGUGAUUACAGGGGACACUGACGUGCUGCCUGUGCUCGACCAACCCAUCAUGCUCCACAGUGUUCUGAGCGUGGAAAGGUGAGGCCAGGCCAGGCCAGGCAGAAGGAGCAGCUUUGCCAAAAGUGGGGCAGCACGUUUUGGAAACGGUGGGUGGCCCACAUGUGUGAAGAGCUGCCUGCCAGGAGGGGGGCUUUGCACCAGCUGCAGGAAGGCCCCGGCCAGACUGACGGUCCUGGACUUGGCUGAGCGGGCACCGGGGAGCUGACCCGCCGAGUUCCCAAGGGGACCUCUAGCUGCCUCCCCAGCUUCGCUGCGGCAACUGUUUCUUGAGCUUUGGGCCCUGCAGGCUCUCAUGUCUAGAAGGACCUCAAGCCCGCCUUCCUGUCUUGUCUCAUUGACUCCAGUUUCAUCCUUCAGUAGUUCUUCAUGACCUUGAUCGUACUGUCUCCUCUCCAGUUUGCCCGACCCCAGCAGGACCCAUGUGAUCGGGGGCACCAGUAGG
rnacentral:lncRNA from 1 species